rnacentral:rRNA from 1 species
GAUGAACGCUGGCGGCGUGCCUAAUACAUGCAAGUCGAGCGAACAGAUAAGGAGCUUGCUCCUUUGACGUUAGCGGCGGACGGGUGAGUAACACGUGGGUAACCUACCUAUAAGACUGGGAUAACUUCGGGAAACCGGAGCUAAUACCGGAUAACAUUUGGAACCGCAUGGUUCUAAAGUGAAAGAUGGUUUUGCUAUCACUUAUAGAUGGACCCGCGCCGUAUUAGCUAGUUGGUAAGGUAACGGCUUACCAAGGCGACGAUACGUAGCCGACCUGAGAGGGUGAUAGGCCACACUGGAACUGAGACACGGUCCAGACUCCUACGGGAGGCAGCAGUAGGGAAUCUUCCGCAAUGGGCGAAAGCCUGACGGAGCAACGCCGCGUGAGUGAUGAAGGGUUUCGGCUCGUAAAACUCUGUUAUUAGGGAAGAACAAAUGUGUAAGUAACUGUGCACGUCUUGACGGUACCUAAUCAGAAAGCCACGGCUAACUACGUG